rnacentral:lncRNA from 1 species
AAUAGUCCACAGAAGUAAAACUUGGCAAUACUGGAAAGCACUAUGUCUACAUUUUUCUGAAGACACUUGGAGCUGCUAUGAAAGGUCAUUUUUUUGUUGCAGUACUUCGAUUUUCUGACAGGACUUCAAGGAUGCUGGAAGAUGUAGUUGUCUUAGUGGUGGUUCCAUAUAACUUCCAGUCGUAACAAUUUUUAUUGCGCAUAAAGUGAAUUGAAGGAAGGAA